rnacentral:misc_RNA from 1 species
UCGAUCACAUGGCCCAGAAACUUAAUCCUUGUUUAAGCAAAAGUACAUUUCUCAUUCUUCAGAAAAAGCUUGUUCUCUCGCAAUUUUUCAAAAACAAGGCGAAGUUGUUCUUUGUGCUCUUGUAAGGUGGAGCUAUACACCACAAUGUCAUCGAGGUACACCACCACAAAUUUGUCGAGGUAGUCAUGAAAAACCUGAUUCAUUAGAGUGCAGAAAGUUGCAGGAGCAUUUGUUAGUCCGAAGGGCAUCACAAGGAAUUCAAAGGCACCAUACCGGGUUACACAAGUAGUUUUCGGCUCAUCUCCUUCUUUGAUACGAACUUGAUGAUAUCCCGAUCGGAGAUCUAACUUGGUGAAAAAUUUAGCCUGCCCCAACUGGUCGAAUAAGUCCGCAAUCAAGGGAAUGGGGUAUUUGUUUCGUAUUGUGACUUUAUUGAGAGCCCGAUAAUCCACACAAAGCCUCAAACUACCAUCUUGCUUCUUUUGGAAAAGAACUGGAGCACCAAACGGAGCUUUUGCUGGUCGAAUAAAUCCUGCUUCCAAUAACUCAUCCAACUGCUUCCUUAAUUCUGCCAAUUCCGGUGGGGCCAUUCUAUAAGGGGCUCUUGCAGGAGGUUUGGUUCCUGGUAAUAGCUCGAUCUCAUGAUCUAUACCACGUCGGGGAGGCAAGACUGCAGGUAACCGUUCGGGCAUCACAUCUUGAAACUUUGUCAUCACAUCUUGAAUCUGCGGAGGGAAUGGAGGUGCUUUUCCCCCUUCUUGGACAAGGGGAACUACCACAUAUGACGGCUCCCCACGCUUGACACCUUUCUUAAACUGGAGGGCCGAUAAUAGCUUCUUUUCACUUAUUGGGCUAAAACUUGUGGGAAUGGUACAUGGCUUGUCUCCCAUUAAUAAGAUACAAUCUGCAGCUGGGACUGGGAUUGCUCGAGCUCUCUUCAGAAAUUCCAUUCCGAUUACUACAUCAAAGUCAUCAAGGGGAGUCACUGUAAAAUCUAUUUUGCCAUUCCA